UACAGAGGUCCCAAGCGUUGUUCGGAUUCAUUGGGCGUAAAGGGUGCGUAGGCGGCGCGGUAAGUCGGGGUGUGAAAUCUCGGGGCUUAACUCCGAAACUGCAUUCGAUACUGCCGUGCUUGAGGACUGGAGAGGAGACUGGAAUUUACGGUGUAGCGGUGAAAUGCGUAGAUAUCGUAAGGAAGACCAGUGGCGAAGGCGGGUCUCUGGACAGUUCCUGACGCUGAGGCACGAAGGCCAGGGGGAGCAAACGGG
rnacentral:rRNA from 1 species